AGUGAACGCUGGCGGUAGGCCUAACACAUGCAAGUCGAACGGCAGCACAGUAAGAGCUUGCUCUUACGGGUGGCGAGUGGCGGACGGGUGAGGAAUACAUCGGAAUCUACUUUUUCGUGGGGGAUUACGUAGGGAAACUUACGCUAAUACCGCAUACGACCUACGGGUGAAAGCAGGGGAUCUUCGGACCUUGCGCGAUUGAAUGAGCCGAUGUCGGAUUAGCUAGUUGGCGGGGUAAAGGCCCACCAAGGCGACGAUCCGUAGCUGGUCUGAGAGGAUGAUCAGCCACACUGGAACUGAGACACGGUCCAGACUCCUACGGGAGGCAGCAGUGGGGAAUAUUGGACAAUGGGCGCAAGCCUGAUCCAGCCAUACCGCGUGGGUGAAGAAGGCCUUCGGGUUGUAAAGCCCUUUUGUUGGGAAAGAAGAGCAGCAGGUUAAUACCCCGCUGUUCUGACGGUACCCAAAGAAUAAGCACCGGCUAACUUCGUG
rnacentral:rRNA from 1 species